UGCGUAGGCGGCUUCGUAUGUCGAGGGUGAAAUCUACCGGCUCACCCGGUUAGACUGCCCUCGAAACUGCGGGGCUUGAGUCCGGAAGGGGAUGGUGGAAUUCCUGGUGUAACGGUGAAAUGUGCAGAUAUCAGGAAGAACACCGGCGGCGAAGGCGGCCAUCUGGUCCGGUACUGACGCUGAGGCACGAAAGCUAGGGUAUCGAACG
rnacentral:rRNA from 1 species